CGAGCGGAUGACGGGAGCUUGCUCCUUGAUUCAGCGGCGGACGGGUGAGUAAUGCCUAGGAAUCUGCCUGGUAGUGGGGGACAACGUUCCGAAAGGGGCGCUAAUACCGCAUACGUCCUACGGGAGAAAGUGGGGGAUCUUCGGACCUCACGCUAUCAGAUGAGCCUAGGUCGGAUUAGCUAGUUGGUGAGGUAAUGGCUCACCAAGGCGACGAUCCGUAACUGGUCUGAGAGGAUGAUCAGUCACACUGGAACUGAGACACGGUCCAGACUCCUACGGGAGGCAGCAGUGGGGAAUAUUGGACAAUGGGCGAAAGCCUGAUCCAGCCAUGCCGCGUGUGUGAAGAAGGUCUUCGGAUUGUAAAGCACUUUAAGUUGGGAGGAAGGGCAGUAAGUUAAUACCUUGCUGUUUUGACGUUACCGACAGAAUAAGCACCGGCUAACUCUGUGCCAGCAGCCGCGGUAAUACAGAGGGUGCAAGCGUUAAUCGGAAUUACUGGGCGUAAAGCGCGCGUAGGUGGUUCGUUAAGUUGGAUGUGAAAGCCCCGGGCUCAACCUGGGAACUGCAUCCAAAACUGGCGAGCUAGAGUAUGGUAGAGGGUGGUGGAAUUUCCUGUGUAGCGGUGAAAUGCGUAGAUAUAGGAAGGAACACCAGUGGCGAAGGCGACCACCUGGACUGAUACUGACACUGAGGUGCGAAAGCGGUGGGGAGCAAACAGGAUUAGAUACCCUGGUAGUCCACGCCGUAAACGAUGU
rnacentral:rRNA from 1 species